rnacentral:rRNA from 1 species
UAUCUGGUUGAUCCUGCCAGUAGUCAUAUGCUUGUCUCAAAGAUUAAGCCAUGCAUGUCUAAGUACAAACCUUAAUACGGUGAAACCGCGAAUGGCUCAUUAAAUCAGCUAUGGUUCCUUAGAUCGUCUCAUCCUACUCGGAUAACUGUGGAAAAUCUAGAGCUAAUACGUGCUUACAAGCCCUGACCUCACGGGAGGGGCGCAUUUAUUAGAUCAAAACCAAUCGGGGCUUGCCCCGUCUGCUUGGUGACUCUGGAUAACUUUUGUGCUGAUCGCAUGGCCUCUGCGCUGGCGACGUAUCUUUCAAGUGUCUGCCCUAUCAACUUACGAUGGUAGGUGAUAUGCCUACCAUGGUUAUAACGGGUAACGGGGAAUCAGGGUUCGAUUCCGGAGAGGGAGCCUGAGAAACGGCUACCACAUCUAAGGAAGGCAGCAGGCGCGCAAAUUACCCACUCCCGGCACGGGGAGGUAGUGACGAAAAAUAACGAUACGGGACUCUUUUGAGGCCCCGUAAUUGGAAUGAGUACACUUUAAAUCCGUUAACAAGUAUCUAUUGGAGGGCAAGUCUGGUGCCAGCAGCCGCGGUAAUUCCAGCUCCAAUAGCGUAUAUUAAUGUUGCUGCAGUUAAAAAGCUCGUAGUUGGAUCUGAGGACUCGAAUUGGUGGUGCACCAUACGGUGUUACUGCCGAUUCGGCCUACCUAGUCGGUGCUCGCUCUUGGUGUUCUUAAUUGAAUGCCCUGAGUGCCCGGCAAGUUUACUUUGAAAAAAUUAGAGUGCUCAAAGCAGGCCAUUAGCCGGAAUACUUCAGCAUGGAAUAAUGGAAUAGGACUUCGGUUCUAUUUUGUUGGUUUUCGGAACCCGAGGUAAUGAUUAAGAGAGACAGACGGGGGCAUUCGUACUGCGGUGUUAGAGGUGAAAUUCUUGGAUCGCCGCAAGACGAACAACUGCGAAAGCAUUUGCCAAGAAUGUUUUUCAUUAAUCAAGAACGAAAGUCAGAGGUUCGAAGACGAUCAGAUACCGUCCUAGUUCUGACCAUAAACGAUGCCAACUGGCGAUCCGAGAUCGUUUGCUUAUUGACCUCUCGGGCAGCCUCCGGGAAACCAAAGUUUUUAGGUUCCGGGGGAAGUAUGGUUGCAAAGCUGGAAAGCCUUAGUUGUACGCUAUCUGCCAGAAGUCAUUA